rnacentral:lncRNA from 15 species
AUGGCACAGCAAAGAGCAAUGCAGCAAACAUCGGAUGUUUUGAUACUUGGGGUUUUGGGAAACAAAAAAAAAACUGAAAGAUUAUGGUGGAGGUUUGUUUGCUUUAUGACAUUUUCUUUGCUUUUCUUAGACAAACAAUGGAAGUCUGCAGGUUUCAAGGAAGAGCAGGAAGUGAGGAAGCAUCAAGCAUUGAAUCUGGCAGGGUUGGCAGAAUGCUGUGAAAAUGGACAGAGCUGUAACACAGACUGUCAGAGACCCGAGGCAGCUGCUAGGAAAAGAAGCAAAGGGAAAUAAGUGGCAGAGAAAAAGGAAAGUAUGCUUAUUUAAUGCAGAAAGCAUGUGCCAACAUGGCCAUUACUGUAGGCAAUAUUCCCUUAAUGAGCCAGACUGUGGAACUGGUACUGGGUUACUAUUACUAAUGACUACCCAUGUUCCUAUAUAUACAAAUGCAGAAAUGGAUGAAGUUUUGAGGUGUUUUUUUAAAAGAGGAUCUAUGUAAUGCAGCCACAUUACAUUGUUAUUUUACAGGCUUGCAUGAAAUUGUCUGCAAGCAAUUUCAACACUCAAUCUAAUAUCAACUCAAAUCGAACUGUACUCUAGGAUAAGAAAUAUAUAUAUUUUGAAUAAUUCUAUUCCUCCACUAUUGUGAAACUGAUGUGGUUUUGUUAAUUAAUUUUGCCUCUACUGAGCUCACUCGAGUGACAACCUAAAAUGUGACCUAAGACAUGCCGUUGGGAAUAAUGUUUCAGUUGUAUUUAUGUUGUGUCUCGUCAAGUCUGUUAAGUUUAGUCAUGUUAAGUGUUUUCUAGUUAGUCCUUCCUGUUUUAUUUUGUACUCACCUUUUCCCUCACUGUUCAACCCUGACUUCCUCCCUUUGUGUGAUUUCCCACCUUUGUAAUUGUCUGCCCCGCCCCUGAUUGCUUUCACCUGUUUCCACUCUCACAUGUUAUAAAUAGUCCUUGUCUCCCUUUUGUCUUUGUCAGUUCGUCUUGGUCUGUAAGUCAGUGAGUAUUGUAAGUGUUGUAAUUCAGAGUCCUGGUUAUUUCAUGUACCAAUCAAAGUUAGACUUUUGUUUGCGUUUUUGAAAUCCUCCUUGAGAGUGACUUUUGUUGAAAGAAUAAAUAUCUUUUUUUCUUCAGUUUCGUCUGUGCCAGAGUCGUGCAUUUGGGUCCACCUGUAUAGUGUCAGAGGUUGUGACAAUUUAAUGUAUGGUGCCAAAUCCAACACGGUUCCAAACUUUCAAUAACAAGAAACUUUUACUCAGAUGGUUUGGUGUCAUGAACAUUUUUAAGUAUGACUAACUGUUUUGUUUUAAUUUUGAAUUCAAUGAAAUUUGAAUUUGAAUUAACAAGAAAAUCAACAAAAGCUUAGUUUC